UGUCAUCCCUAAGGGGUUUGCCAACUACGAGAAACCUCCAGAGUAUCAUCCACCAGUUGAAAAUCCCCCAUUUUAUAAACCACCGGUAGAGAAACCACCUGUGUAUAAACCACCAAUAGAGCAACCUCCAAUUUAUAAGCCACCUGUAGAAAAUCCUCCAAUUUAUAAACCACCAGUAGAGAAACCACCCGUGUAUAAACCACCGUUUGAGAAACCUCCAAUCUACCAUCCACCAGUAGAGAUACCACCAGUGUACAACCCACCAGUUGAACAUCCUCCAAUUUACAAGCCUCCUGUAUACAAACCACCAGUAGAGCAACCUCCCGUCUAUAAGCCACCAGUAGAGAAGCCUCCAAUUUACAAGCCACCAGUAGAGAAACCUCCUGUUUACCAACCUCCUGUUUACAAGCCCCCAGUUGAGAAACCUCCAGUGUACAAGCCACCUGUAGAAAAGCCACCAGUGUACAAGCCACCUGUAGAAAAGCCACCAGUGUACAAGCCACCUGUAGAAAAGCCUCCUAUAUACAAACCACCAGUAGAGAAACCACCAGUGUACAAACCACCCGUUGAGAAACCCCCGGUUUAUAAGCCACCAGUAGAGAAACCACCUGUGUACAAGCCACCAGUUGAGAAGCCCCCAAUUUACAAGCCACCAGUAGAGAAACCACCUGUAUACAAGCCACCAGUUGAGAAGCCUCCAGCUUACAAGCCACCAGUUGAGAAGCCACCUGUAGAGAAACCACCAGUGUACAAGCCACCGGUUGAGAAGCCCCCAAUUUACAAACCACCAGUUGAGAAGCCUCCAGUGUACAAGCCACCGGUUGAGAAACCACCUGUCUACAAGCCACCUGUAGAAAAUCCACCUGUUUACAAGCCACCAUUUGAGAAACCUCCAAUUUAUAAACCGCCAAUAGAGUAUCCACCCGUGUACAAGCCCCCUUUUGAGAAACCCCCCAUCUACAAGCCACCUGUAGAGAAACCUCCUUUUUACAAGCCUCCGUUUGAGAAUCCACCAUUUUAUAUACCUCCAGUUGAGGAGCCUCCUGUUUACAAGCCUCCAUUCGAGAAGCCACCAAUUUACACUCCUCCAUUCUAGAGCCCACCUUACCACCCAAAGUUCCCUCGGGCAGGCGAUGGUACUCGUUAAUAGAACAUGCUAUGAAGAAAAUAUGUUAAAUAAGAGAUAUAUAGAGUUUUUUAUUUAAUCAAGGAAUAUAUAUAUUCAUGUAAUCUUCAUUUCAAUACUUUGUUUACAAUACUCUUGCUAUGAUAAGAAUAUGAGUGAAAAACAGAGAAAGAAAAUAGUGUGCUUUUCUAUUCGAAAUUAUGAAUAAGAUUUCUAUGAUUUAGAUGUUGUGUUGGUUGACUAAAUCGUGAUACAUCGACAGAGGCAGAGCCCCUCAUGCGCCAAGGUGGGUCAUGGCCCACCCCCAAAUUUUGUUUCUUAUUAUAUAUAUAUUAUGUUUUGUAAAUUUUUGAUGUUUUUGUAGCAUGUUGUAGUGGUUAAGAGCCUUUUUGCCAAGUCGUAUGUGCUAGGUUCAACUCUUGCCAAAACCAUUUUUAUUUAUUCUUUUAUUUUCUUUUGUAUAAAAAAAAAACAUAAUUCAUAAUUGUUAAAAUAAUCCUUUUUUUUGUUACUUAAUCCUUUCUUUCUUUAAUAAAACAUAACUCCUUUAUUCGAUUUAAAAUAAUCUUUCCUUUCCUUACUCUUAUUUUUGGAUACAAUUGUCUCUUUACUCUUUUAUUUUAAUUUUUUUUUUAUACAAAGGGGACUUCAACUCUUUUUUGUCAAAAAACAUUCUCUUUUAAAACAUAUAACAUAUUUUUUAUACUUAGUCGUUUGAUUCAAUUCGAUUUUAUACCUAUACAUCUGUUUAUUGAAGUCGAGUCAUUUAAUUCAGUCGUUAGGUUCAAUGGCCUAGUUGUUCGAUCAAUUAUCUUGAACUUUAUCAAGGUUGAUAAACAGUUCAUAUUUUAAAAUACCGGUUUAAAUUAUAUUCAACAAAUAACAAAUUUAUAGUCAUUGGAACCAACCAAUAAUAAAAUGUACUUGUAAGAAAAUAAAGCCUCAUCACUAUUUAUGGCCCACCCUAUACUUUUUUCCUAGCUCCGCCACUUUACAUCUUCGUAUUCUUUAGGAAGUUUCAACCUUGUUGACUAUGACAACAGUGACGACUAUAACGAGACUCGCUAUUGACUAUGACAACAGUGACGACUAUAACGAGACUCCCUACUUUUUGGUUUGCUUCAACAGGUUCUCAACAUAAAUAACUAACCAAGUUAAUUUGCCUGUGAAAUGUGAUAUUAGUAAGGUGCAUGAAGGUUAAGUUCUUUAGCAAAGCUUAGUAUCUUGAAUUAAAGAAUAUCGUUAAUUAAACUAAAUAUUCAUAUUAGGUAUCACAAUUUUCAAGACUUUAUAUGUACGUGUUGAUCCAUUAAUUAAGAGAAAUUAGACUUUAGACCCGUGCGUCGCACGGGUCAUUUCGACUAAUAUAUAAUAAUAAGUAAUGGUAAAAAAAAUUCUAAAAUAAAUAAAAGAUGAAGAGUAUUAUACAUUUUACUUACUCAAGUUCAAAAAAUAAAGUAGGAGAUGACAUGAAAUCGUUUAGUUGAAACAAACGAAUAUUAAAAAAUAAAAAUUAGACAACGACAGGGAUCUAAAAUUCUAUUUCUAAUCCUUCACAUAUCAAAAUUACAAUUGGUUCUCUUCAUUGUAAUCAUCUAAACUUAAUUAAAAAAUUUACAAGUGCAAAUAGAAUCGACAUUAUACAAGUCACUACUUGAUUCCAAAAACCUAUGUUUCAUGAAAACCACUCAUACCUAAAUAACAAUAAUAAACCUUCAAAACAAAAAUCAACUAUUCUCAAAGGACCCAAAAGAAAGAUUUUUAGCCUUCUAAAUCACAAUUUCUCUUGUUGUAUUGUUUUUGUGUCAAAAGCACCAUAAGUUGAAUAGUAGGCUCAGACACAUGACUUUCCUCAUAAGACAAAAUCACCAGUUUUUUAUAGGUUGAAAAAAUAAAUCAAAUAUCCUUAACUUUCAAUAACGCUUAGAAACAACUGAAACUUUUGCAUUAUCUCAAUCCACAAACAAAAUUGAAGACCUUUAUAUUUGCUUUAGGCACCUUAAGGAAUUCUAUGUAAAUUGUUUUCCUGCAAUGAAAUGCUAAACACAAUGAGCAAAGAAGAAGAAUUAACAACAAUAUUUGGAUUGUUUUAUUUAGCUUACAAUUCUUUAAACUAAUCAANAACACAAUGAGCAAAGAAGAAGAAUUAACAACAAUAUUUGGAUUGUUUUAUUUAGCUUACAAUUCUUUAAACUAAUCAACAAAAAAUUAAAUUUGCAUUAUAUCCUCCACAAUAUCAAGAAUUUUUCAAAGGGAUCAUUCUAUUUGUAUGGCUAUGAUGAGAACUCAUGUGUGUCCAUGAAGACCAGCUCUACGGAUAACCAUGUUCAUAUUAACUAUUUUAGGAGUGAAAAUAGGAUUGGAUUGGAUUUAGUAGUGAGCUGUUGUUUUUGAUUUCAGAAGCAUUUGAAAAUAACAUUUUGAUUAAAUGGAAAUAAUAGGAAGAAUUUGUUAAUAAAAGUGAUUUUUUUUUUUUUUUUUAUGUUGAUCUUUUUAUUGUUGUGUUAGAAACAAAAUAGGACGAAAUUGUAUUUUUUUUUUUAUGUUUAUCUUUUUAUUGUUGUGUUGGAAACAAAAUAGGAGGAAAUUGUUAUAGGAAUAGGAGGAACGAUUUUUAAAGUUUAUCUCUUAAUUAAACAGGUUUAAUUGAACACGGGGGUAAUAACGUAAAAGUCAUCAUAAAAUCUAGGUUAAAAUUAGGUUAAAAAUUGGCUUACGGGUUAACUUUUAUAUAUAAAGAAGUCAAGAGAAUCUAGAUCUGUGAAGCCCCGAUACUUCAAAAUGGAUGAUGUAUCGUAUCCGCUGCGUAUUCUGUAUCGAUACCUGCCCGAUACUUCUCAAAUUUAUGAGUUUUAUUUGAUUCUUCGAAUUCGAAUUUUGAGAAUUUUAGGGUUUGAAGGUUGGUGAUGGAGGUGAAUCUGAGUUUAUAUUAAGAAUUGAUGAAGAAUUUAAGGAGAGUGCAGUGAUGGAUAGGUAACUGAGUAUGAAUUGGUAUGCAGUUUGGAAAAACAAAACAAGAGGCAGUAGCAGCACCCCCACCCUUCCUCUACUUCUUCGACAAUAUGAGUGUUAGAUUCAUUUUCCUAGGUGUGAUUUUGAGGCAGAUGAAUAUGUGUGAGAGAUUGUAGAGGAAGAUCUCAGAUAUAGCUUUUAGGGAUGAACAUGAAUGAAUGAAUUUGUAGAUGAAGAUGAAUGUUGUUUGAACAUUUAAUUAAGAAAUUUUUAAUUGUUUUUUGUUUUAAUAUUUGAAAUUAUUAAAUUGUAUUUUGAAAUUCAAAAAACCUGUUUUAAUGACAUGUAAAUGACAUUUUCCAAAUUGGCAAUGCCACAUAGGCAAAAUUUUACCACCUGUGCAUUUUUGGAUGUGAAAAUAGGGGGUAAGACUAAAACUGCAACAAAAAUGAUAAUUGAAAAACAAUUUUAAUCUGUUUUAAAAGGGCAGGACCAAUUUCCUGAGUAGGCCACAACACGAGGACCAAAAGUGUAAUUAAGCCUUAUAUUUAUGUUGAUGUGCUACAAGCUUAUGACUGGUUUCUUUUGUUUGAUAAUAUAUUUGCAUAUUAAAUAAAAUGGUUAUAAUUAUAUUCUACAUUUAAUUAUAUAAUUUUUUUAUUGACGUAUCCCAACCAUAUCGUAUCUUGAUUUUUGAAAUUUUUUCGUAUUGACGUAUCGGUGCAGUAUCGUAUCUCGUAUUCGGGCUUCAUAGAUCUAGACUAUUAAUUUUUUUGAUAAACAAGAUUAUUAUUAUUUUUUGACAAAAACAAAGUGAGAUUCAUUCAUUCAAAUUGAUAGAGUACAUCAGAUACAAACAUUGCUAAAAACGUAAAGGAUAAAUCUAUGAACAAACUCACAACACUAAAGUUCAUACAACAGCAAAAUGUCUACAAAUAAUAUGAUAAAAUCUAAGUCACCAAAAUAUUCAUGCUUCCGGGUAUGCAACGUUGGCGCCCAAAUCAUUGAUUGAAUUUGUAAUUGACUAAUGUCGAUCUUUCAACAUGAACUAAACGAACACCGCGUCAAGACGCGAAAUCAAACAUCACAUAAGACCACUAACAACACAAUGCCACAAUUAGAUGACGAAAUCACAAAAACUCAAAAGGGAAAACUUGAUAUAUGUGAAAACCAUUUGUUUAGAUCGAAAGAAAAGAGAAAAAACGAUGUAGAGGGGUGAUUUUAGGUCAAAAAUGACCUAAAACCAGUUCUUUUUAAUAAACGAAGGAGAAAGAAUGUUUAGAGAGAAGUUGGAGUUUUUUUUUACUUAAAAAAUUAGGAUAAGCAAAAUUAUUAUAGAGGGAUAAAGGGCUCCCCAACCCAUAUACAAAAUGAUGGUUGCAAUGCCAUGUAGAAAAUAAAAAGAUAACAUUGCCUUUCUUUUUACAAUUAAACUAGUUACAAACCCGUGCGUUGCACGGGUUUAAUAACGUAUUUUAUAAAAAAAAAAUCUUUUAAAAGAAAAAUGAGCAAAUUAAUGAAUAUUGCACAAACAUUAUAAAUCUUUAUCAAAAUAUUUAUGAAAGCUUUAUCAAGUCUUUAAUACACAUUAAUAUUUGUGAUGAUUGAUAAAAGAAUUAAAAAGAGUAAAGGGUAUAGAAAUAAAUUUAUUAAAGAAUUAACAAUUUGUUUAAACUUAUUUUUGUUACAAUUUAGACCAAAAAAAAUAUUGGACUUCAUUGAGUUUCUCUAUAAUUUUUUUAUCAGGCUUGAAGUUAUGACUCUGAGUUUGAAAACCGCAAAAUUCACAAAAAUUAUUGAAGAAACACUAUAAACAAAUAAACGGCAUCGUCAAAAAUGAAAUCAUAUUUGGCUAUAGUGAUCAAGCAAACAAAAAAAAAGAAGCAUAUUAAAUACCUAUAAUCAAUGGAUUCUAAUUGCAUAGAGGCGACACUUAUACUUUCUCUAUGUUUGUUCAUCAAUGAGAGUGAUUAUUUUGCGCUUUCCUUUCAGAAUUGUUCUUGACACCUAGUUUGGGAAAUGCUAAACAGGGAAAUAACUGUAAUAUUAAUCUAAUGCAUAUUAACAUGGAUAAGAUGUAUGCGAAUAUAGUUAUAUAUAACUUAUGAAAUGAAGGUAACAUAACUGAUUUUAAGCUAAAGAAAAUGUACCAUGACUUCUAAUUUAUCUUUCUAUUAUCUUCCUAUAAAGUCUAGAGAAAUGCAUGCAUGUGCAUUAUAUGUACCCCGUUGACCAAUUAACAUUUUUGAAACAAAUGAAAAUUAAGCAUCACUCCCGCAUGUGCAUCUAUAGCUAACACCAUUUGACAUUGAUGUCUUCGAACAUUUGGUGCAACUCUCAUAAUACCAUCCAAACUGGUUAGGAUUGAAUUUAGUUGUUUUUCCAAAUAGUGAUGGAGUAUGUAUCCUAACACAAAUUAUGCACGUGAAAUAAAGAAUAGUGCAAUAUGCAUUUUUAAUUUGUGCGUAAAAAAAUUCAAAGCAUGUUUGUGAAAAAAAAAAAAAAAAACAGACCUUGACUAAGUUUAUAGAUUCAUCAAUUGGCCUAACUUGAGACAGAUUGGAAAAAUCGUUCUACGAAGUACUUUUUAAACUUUACUUUUUAAUCUAUCUGAGCUUGAGAAGUGUUAAGUUCACGACAACAAUUCAAGAAACAUGGUCAAUAAACAAUCAAAUCAGAUUGUGAAAUAAUAAGUUACUCUAACACUGUAUUGUGAAAUCAUAAUGCAAACUUACUAAGUCUUAAACUUUUCAACAACCGGAUGAUGUAGGUUGAUGAGCAGCCUCGAACCUGACCAAUUGUUACAUCUAUUUGCGUUGUCAUUGACUACAAAAUAGAAGCAAAGAAUUCAAGGUAAAUAAAUGGUAAAUGAUAAAGCUACAAAGUAUUUUACCCAUAAUGUUACAUCAACUAUAUUCCCAAUGCUCUAAAUCUCUAUAUCGAGUUAUUACAUGAACUCGAUCACCCUAAAUCCGAGAAAGAAACCAAAAAAUAUAAAUAAAUCAAAAUGUAUACUAAUAAGUAACAUUGAUAAAUCAUAAAAGAAAUUACUACAAAUCUUAACUAACUUAUCUAACCUUUGCAUCACAAAUAAUGAGCUUCAUAUGUUGAUUCUCAUUACUACCAGUCACAAUUCAAGAAUCCAGUACUCCAAAUCCUAUUUUCCAAACGUCUAAAUCAUUUUUGAGAUACUUAAUGUAGUCAUAAUCCCUUGACAUUGAAAUUCAUAUAUAGAAAUACAAUAAUACAUCAUUUAAUUUUAUUCCCUUUGUUCAUUCUGAUAUCGAAAGAAGCUAACAUAUUUCUAUGUGAUCAAUUUUUGUAUCAUCAAAUUAACCUGAUCUUAAAUGUACAAAUUUCUAUCAUCAACUUUCUGGACCCCAAUGAUAUGAUCAAAACAAAUUUACACCAAUCAACUUUUUGCACGGCUCAAUGAUAUACGAAAGAAUAAAUAAAAUAUGAAAACUGUUACAGCUUUAGGAUUACUCACAAAAACUAAAAUAAUUGAAAUGCAUCAAUUAUUUUCAACUCCUGUACCAGAAGCUAAAAUAACAAUUGUGUCAAAACCUUACCAUCAGUUAAAAUUCAGUCAUCAUGACCUCUACUAUACUCCACAUAACAAAAGACGAUUUUUCUACAGCCAUGCAACAUAACAAAUUUUGGUACAUAAUCCAAUAACAAUUGGAAAAAAAAAAAAAAAACCCUUAAAAUGCAUAAUCAUGAAAAAAGGAAGAAAACCAUCUAUGAUGAAGCAAAAACUAAAACGGUGUCGAAAAAUGAAGCCCUUAAGCCAUAAAAAUCAGUCAACUCAAGUCAUGCAUGGUCUCAGAACCAUGAAAAAAGAUAGAAAAUGACCUUUUUUUUUUUUGUGGUGGCCGGGGUUUGAACUCCGGACCUUGCAUAUUUUAUGCAUUGUCCUACCAACUAAGCUAAGCUCACGAGGACGAAGAAAAUGACCUCUUAUGAAGAAGAAAGUGAAACAGUGUUCCCGACUGAACUUAGAUACCGUUUGGUCAAGGUUUUUUACAUUAUAAAAGUUACUUCAAAACAAAGUAAAAAUAAAGGCCUUUAUGAAAGAAACUAAAGUUAUUUGGUUUUUUUGUUUUGUUAGUUUUAAAGCUAUUUAAGUUUAAUGUUGUUUGGCAAAAUAUUGUACAAACUUUGAAUUUAUUAUUUUUUAUAUGGUGUCUGGGGUUCGAACUCCGGACUUGGCAUGUAUUUAUGCAUUGUUCCUAUCAACUGAGCUAAACUCAUGAGGACAAAACUUUGAAUUUAUUAUUAAUUAACAUAAUAAAUAAAUAAAAUGUUUAGAAUAAUUUAUGAAGGCUAAAAAUGUUAAAAAAAUAAAAGAUAUUUUUUUUACAAAUACGAUAUUUACUCAAUAACGUUUAUUUUGUGUAACAUGAAUACAAAUUAAUAUCAUCAUAUAAAUAACUUGUUAAAUAUUUGAAUAGGAGAAACAAUUUAAGGAGUCUGGAAUAAUAAUAUAAAUAAUAUCAAAAUAUUUGAUUUUUUCUAUUUCAAUUAUACUCUAUAACAAAUUUCGUUAUAAGAAUACCAUAUUUUUUGUGUCUUUCAAAAAGAUAAGAAUUUAUAUUAUAUGAUAUUAUAUUUGUUACAUUGUUGGUGUCAUGGAAACAGAUAUGUUUAAUUUUUUUGAACAUGAAAAUGAUAUGCAUAGUUUGUUACGAUAUAAAGGUGCAAUAUAUAUAUAUAUAUACACCUUUUUAGGCAUCUAUACCUUUUUUUGAAGAAAAGACAUCUACAAUUUUACUUUUAAUUAAAAUUUAAAUUUUAUAAAAAUAAUCAUACGCAUUAUGCAACGCUAAAAAAAAUUAUACACAUUAGCGUAACAAAAAAACAGACACACAUAAAGAAUUACUCUAAACGCUAAUGUGUAUGUGCGUAUAUAUUUGCGAGGUUGAAGAAAGAAAAUACAAAUAUUUGAUAUCAUUAAAUGACAGCGUGAAUAAAAAUAUUUGUGAAGUUGUGAUGAUUAAACGAUAUUGAAAUUAUAAGUGAUAAAAAGAUAAUAAAAUUCCUUUGAAAAAAAGGUAAUAAAAUUAAAUGGAACCUCCUUAAAAAAAAUUAAAUUGAACGCUUCAAAUUAAAUGGAAGAAAAAAAUAUAUUGAAGUAUAAUAUUAAAAAAUAAAAAAAAAGGUUCCCAACGUGAAUUGAAGAGAGAUGCUUGUGAAAUAAAUUGUCGAGAAGUAGUUUUUUGAAGAAGCAUUCAACAACUUUUGGUCAAAGUUCAUUGCAUUCAAUUUUAUGCAUUAAAAAAGGUACAUUUUUUAGAAAGUACUUAAUUGAUAUUGUAUUUGACCUAACUUCUCCUUAAAAAUAUAGGGAAGUUGAAAAAAAAAACCGGGUCAAACGGUAUCUUAAUUUCCCACAACGGCAGUGUAGAAACAACUGAAUUUGGGAGAAAAAAAUUGGAAAAUAGUUAAAAAUAAAAAAAAUUGAAAAAUAGUUAAAAAAAAUCGGUGAGGUAGCACCUAACCAAACAACACUAAAAAAAAUUAUAUGCAUCAGCGUAACAAAAAAACAGACAGACGGACAUAAAAUAUUACUCUAAACGUUAAUGUGUGUGUAUAUAUUCGCGAGGUUGAAGAAAGGAAAUAAAAAUAUUUGGUAUCAUUAAAUGACAGCGUGAAUAAAAAUAUUUGUGAGGUUGUGAUGAUUAAACAAUAUUGAAAUUAAAAUAAUUAAUAUUGUGUUUGACCCAACUUCUCCUUAAAAAUUUAGAGAAGUUGGAAAAAAGUCGGGUCAAGCGAUACCUUAAUCUCCCACAACGGUAAUGUAGAAGCCACUGAAUUUGGGAGAAAAAAUUGGAAAAUAGUUAAAACUAAAAAAUAAAAAAAUCGGUGAGGUAGCACCCAACCAAGCAACACCAAAAAAAAAUUAUAUGCAUUAUCGUAACAAAAAAAUAGACAAACAGACAUAUAAUAUUACUCGAAACAUUAAUGUGUGUGUAUAUUCGCGAGGUUGAAGAAAGGAAAUAAAAAUAUUUGAUAUCAUUAAAUGACAACGUGAAUAAAUAUAUCUGUGAGGUUGUGAUGAUUAAAUAAUAUUUAAAUUAAAAUAAUUGAUAUUGUGUUUGACCUAACUUCUCCUUAAAAAUGUAGAGAAUUUGGAAAAAAGCCGGGUCAAACGAUACCUUAGUCUCCCACAACGGCAAUGUAGAAGCAACUGAAUUUGGGAGAAAAAAUUGAAAAAUAGUUAAAAACAUAAAAAUUGGAAAAUAGUUAAAAGUUAUUAAAAAUUAGAAAAUAAUUUAAAAAAUUGGUGAGGGGCAAAAUGGGAAAUUUGGCAUAAAAAAGAUGAGGUGGCACCAAACCAAACCCACCAAUUAGAAAAUUACUUAAAUGCCCAUUCCAGGGACAAAAUGGGAAUUUCAUAUGGCAUCAAUUUUAAUAGAGUAUAUAGACCACUCACAUUACACAAAUGUUGAAAUAUAUGAUGCAUAUUACUUUUUAAAUUUUUGGUUUAUAGUUGCAUUUUUUUUAGGGUUAAUAGUGUUUUUCACCCUUGUAAUAUAUGUCAUUUUCGGUUUUCGACCCUAUAAAAUUUUUAGUUUUAUUUUAACCCUCGUAAAAUUUUUAUUUUCCGGAAAAGACCCUUAAUAGGCCAUUCAAAAACCAAAAUUUCUUGAAAAAAAUUCUGAAAAUGGCCUAUUAGGGGUCUUUUCCGGAAAAUAAAAAUUAUACGAGGGACCACCUGUUGAGAAACCACCUGUACACAAGCCACCAGUUGAGAAGCUACCUGUUUACAAGCCACCUGUAGAGAAACCUCCGGUGUACAAGCCACCUGUUGAGAAGCCCCCAGUUUACAAACCUCCAGUAGAGAAGCCUCUAGUGCACAAGCCACCAGUUGAUAAACCACCUGUACACAAGCCACCAGUUGAGAAGCUACCUGUUUACAAGCCACCUGUAGAGAAACCUCCGGUGUACAAGCCACCAGUUGAGAAGCCCCCAGUUCACAAAC
rnacentral:lncRNA from 1 species